CAGCAGCCGCGGUAAUACGUAGGGUGCGAGCGUUGUCCGGAAUUAUUGGGCGUAAAGAGCUUGUAGGCGGUUUGUCGCGUCUGCUGUGAAAUCCCAGGGCUUAACCCUGGGCUUGCAGUGGGUACGGGCAGACUAGAGUGUGGUAGGGGAGACUGGAAUUCCUGGUGUAGCGGUGAAAUGCGCAGAUAUCAGGAGGAACACCGAUGGCGAAGGCAGGUCUCUGGGCCACUACUGACGCUGAGAAGCGAAAGCAUGGGGAGCGAACAGGAUUAGAUACCCUGGUAGUCCAUGCCGUAAACGU
rnacentral:rRNA from 1 species